AAGAAUAACGCUGUCAUACCAUCAGGCCCUGGUGCUUUUUCCGGGUGCAUCAAAAACAAAGCCGCUCUUACCUCAUCUUCUGUAGCAGGUGUCGUUAAGAAGUCAUUUAUUUGAUCCGUUAUUAAAGUUUUAACCUCUGAUAAAGAUUCCGCAAUAUUCUGGGGAUUCGACUUAUUAAACAAAGUCUCAAAAUAAGACACCGCUAUAUGUUGGACAUCUUUAUCCUCUGCAAACCAUUUUCCAUUUUCAUCAUGAAGUCCUAUGAUCCGAUUCCUAGCCCGUCUCUGUUUUGUUAGAGCAUGGAAAUAUUUUGAGUU
rnacentral:sRNA from 1 species